rnacentral:rRNA from 1 species
UUACCUACGGGACGCAGCAGUGGGGAAUAUUGCACAAUGGGGGAAACCCUGAUGCAGCAACGCCGCGUGAGUGAAGAAGUAUUGCGGUGUGUAAAGCUCUAUCAGUAGGGAAGAAAAUGACGGUACCUGAGUAAGAAGCCCCGGCUAACUACGUGCCAGCAGCCGCGGUAAUACGUAGGGGGCACGCGUUAUCCGGAUUUACUGGGUGAAAAGGGAGCGUAGACGGCGAUACAAGUCUGAAGUGAAAGCCCGGCGCUCAACCCCUGGGCUGCUUUG